rnacentral:lncRNA from 1 species
GUUUGGUGGUAAUAAUCAUAGUGUCCAAGUUUGAUAACAUUUUAUUGAUGCAAACUAAUGUUAAAAAACGUAAACUAACCUUUCGACGCAUUGUUAAACGGACGUACGGACGCAAACAGACGGACAAGGGUACAAAAAUGAUUUUCAUCCACAACGUCAGGGCCAUUUAAAGAGAGUUUUUAUGAAAGAUUCGAGCUGUGCAGUAUAUCCUUAAAUGUUGCAACAGAAACAAAUUGGUUGUGUGUUUGUGUCCAGGUGGACAUCAUAUGUGUUAUACUAAAAGUCUACCAUGAUUACAGUGGUGACAAUUGAUGAUAAUGGGUUUUAAGUAAAAUAACAAAAAUACCGCACGGAAAGUCCUUAAUCAAAAUGUCUAACACAUCAAAUUAAUGGAAAACAACUGUCAUAUCCCAGUGUAGAAAACGAUAGAUUAACUUGGGUUUAAACUUGGAUUUGUAGCUACCUAUACCUCUCACUUGUCUGACAGUCAUAUAGAAUUUCAUUAUAUUGACAACAAUGGGCUAGCAAAAAAAAAUAUAAGGCCUGAGGGACUUAUCAUUUUUUAUCUGGGAGGGGGGGGGGGCUUUGUCAAAAUACAGGGGGAUCAAGUUUUUUUCUGAAUGUGGAAAAGGGGGGUUCAAUAUUUUUUUUUAUACAUUUAAAGAAGGGAGGAUCAAUAGUUUUUGCUCAUGGAAAUAAGUAGUUCACUUCAAGUUCAAGAGUAAAAUUGUCAAGAAGAACGUUACAACAUCAAAAACAUUAUUUUAUAAGGACCCUACCAAAAUUACUUGAUCAGAAAUAAUUAUUUUG